CAAAAGCUCAUCAUCAGUAAACCAAAGCGGAUUGCCAAAUGUGAUGGGAAGCAUAUCAAGGUACCUGACCGAUUCCAAUGACAGGGGAUGUUAUCUUCCACCCAAGAGGAAAAAAGCUCACCACCAAAGAAACCAGAAAGUUUUAACUGAUGAUUAAACAAAUUCCUUCUAUACAUACGGCUUCCAAGAAGAAUUCUUGCGGAGGCGCUCCACUGUUAGAAACAAAACCAUCAAGAACCUAUCAUCUACAUCUCCUUCUCCGAACAUUGCUCUACAUUCCGGUCCCAGAAGAGGAUCUUGCAGAACUCUCAUAGGAGUUAUUGCUAAAUCCAGAGGCACAACUAAUAAAACCCCUGAAUUUUAUUUCCAAAAGUGAGUCAGAACUAUUCUAAUUGUAAAAAUGUAAUGAGAGCAGGUUUCAUAACACAAUGGGAAUGCAGUCUUGGAAUGGUGACCUAAAAGCUUGGGUUAUGAUGCCUGGGUAUGAUGUAUGGGUACAGUGCUAACUUGGUGAAUAAUCAUAGGAUGAAGUAACCUAAGAGAGGAAACGUUAGCCAUUUUUAUUAUUGAUUGAUAGUGUCCAUUGAAAAUGUUAGGCUUUAAAAGCCACAUGGAAUGCUACUGCCAUUUCUAAUUCAAGUUCAAUAUAAAAGAACAAUCUUGACUGGUAUAUUCCUCCAUGGGCAUCAUUUGGUCAAAAAUCAGCUCAUACCCCGCUAGCUUUUAGUUUGACGAACACAACUGCACCAUGCAGUUGUGAAUGCAUACAUUGUUAAAGCUUAUAAAACUUUGUUAAAGACAUGGCAAUAGUAAUCCAAACAUAAAUCUCUUGUGCUUGUUCAAAGAAACAUUAACACAAAUUAUACUUUCAAUUGCAGGAGCAACAAUAUAUUGGCUUGCAAAGGGUACUUCUGAAGAUCGGAAUCAAGUAAUUUACUCAAUCUUUCCUAUAUUGUUCUUAAAAAUGUAGUAUCUGACAGAUAAAGAACAAAACUUUACUAACUCAUGGUAAAAGGAAGAAUUGGGUUUACCAUCAGAAACAUGAUUAUCGGCAAAAAUGCCAAACCCUUUAUCAGAAUCAGAGUAUUUGAUCUUACACCCACGUAGCUCCACCCCAUUAACCUGAACCCAAAACCCAAUUAAUCAAAAUCACAGUUUCACCAAUGGGGUCAGUAAAAAGAAGCUCAUACGAUACUGUAAAAUACAUGGGCACCUCUAACCACUGCAGAAACCGUUCAAGCUUCGCGUCUUCUUGUGAACCCGCCAUUGCUUUGUGUAUUCCUAAUUGGAAGCGCCAUGGUGGCAGUGAUCGGAAGUGCGGGACAACAUGUCGACGUUUUCGUCGUCGUCUUUGGUAAUUUCGCCGCUGUAGACCUCGUGUUCGUGUUUAGUCCUCCAUGGCUGUGGGAGAGUGGAUCUGGGGAUAUAUACACACUUGAAGAGUUUAUCAAUGGAAGAGUUUUGGGUUUGGUUGGAAUUGAAGAGUUUCAAAAGAGAGAGACUUUGGGACGAGGGUUUAGGAUGGGUUUUGGUUCAAGCCUAUCACAAAAAUAAAUAAUAAAUAAAUACGUGUGUAUAUAUAUAUAUAUAGACCUUUCUCAUCAAAAACGGCCUAAGACAUAAUUGUAAAUAAACCGAAAUAGUGGGGAGAAUGAUGACUCUUUAUAUGUUUCAGCUUUCUUUUAUUUUUCUUUUUUGAGGCGAAAGGUAAGUACUACCCCUCGUAUCUGGUGUAUUUACAUAGGUGUUUCCAGACGUUUCCGAUGCGUUUCCAGGCGUCUCCGAUGAGUUUUCGGCGUUUUCGAGACCAAUUUAUCAACCUCCAAGACACUUUGUACGUGUUGAUGCAUGUGGCCAAAAAUUGCCGUAAAUGGUCGGAGAUUGCCAGAAAUGGCCGAAAACAUAAUCGUAAAUAAACCGGAAUGUGGAGGCAAUGAUGACUUUUCAGAUGUUUCGGCUUUCUUUUUUCUUCUUUGAGGCCAAAAAUCAGUAUUACCCUCUUGUAUCCGGUUUAUUUACAUAAAUGUUUCCGGACAUUUACGGGCGUCUCCGAUGUGUUUCCGGCGUUUUAGAGAUUAAUUUAUCAACCUCCAAAGACUGUGUAAGCGUUGACUUGGCCAUAAAUUCUCGGAAACGUCCGAAUACAUAAUCAUAGAUAAAAUGGAAUAGUGGGGACAAUGAUGACUUUUCAUAUGUUUCAGCUUUCUUUUUUCUUCUUUAGGACAAAAACUCAGUAUUAUCCUCUUGUAUCUGAUGUAUUUACAGUGGCAUUUUCUGACGUUUCAACGUGUUUCUAGCAUUUCUUUAACCAAUUUAUCAACCUUCAAGGCAUUGUGUACGCGCUAAAAUGGCUGUAAAUGGCCGUAGACGACCGAAGAUUGCCGAAACCAGCCUAAAACAUAAUGGUAAAUAAACAAAAAACAUGAGGGCAUAAAUGACUUUUUGGUGUUACCCAAUUUGGGCUUUUUUUUCCUCUUGAAACGUUUUGGGUUAAACCCAAAUCUCUAGGCGUCAUUCGUUUUCCCAUCACAUUCAAAUGACCUCGUACGACGUCGCUUUGGUUAAUGCUCUCUAUCUUUUGGUUAGGUUGUAGCAAAUUUGAAUUCAAAAUGUGAAGAGAAAAGGAAACAAAACGGGGUUUUUCUUGGGAUUGAUAGUUGGCUAUAGAUAGCUAGACCACCCUAAUGUGGUCCAUAUGCAUGCAACUGUUGUUGUUGCUUGGUUAAAUGUUGUGCACAAGCCUUGAGAUUGGUAGUUUGAGGACUAGAUUUGGCAUAUACUAGUGACAUACGACGCGUACAGUGAUUUGUAAAAUAAUCAGUGAAUGAGAAAUGCGCAUAGAAAACUAUGCAUGAGUGAUAUCUACGAUGAAUCGUGAUAUAUUUAAUGGUUGAGGAAUGAACAUAGAAGACUGUAUAUGUUCGCAGUAUGUAUGUUUAAAGAAGUUUGUCUCGUCUUUUGUCUUCUAUCUUUACCAUGUGUUAUGUUCUAUCUUCAUCAUCAAUGGUGACUCCUAAGUAAGCCUAGCAACCUAUGUAUACUUGCUCUAUAGGCUAUAGAUUGGGCACCUCCCAGAUCUACUUUCAACGCUUAGAUAAUUUAACAAAUUCAAUAUGUGGUAAGCUUUUUCCUUAUAUAUAUAUAUAUUGAGAUAUUAUUAAGGGCCGAGAAGUGAAAUCUACACACCUUAAAUUAUAAUCCACACACCCAUUUUUCAUUUUUAGUAGUCAUUAUCAUAUAAAGACAAGAUUUAAAUCACUAAAGACAAAAUUUAAGUUACUAAAAAUAGAAAGUGGGUGUAUAUAUUACAAUUUUGGGUGUAUGAAUUUUAUAUCUCAUAAUUAAUGUAUAUAUUGGGCAAAGAGAUAACGUGAUGAAGAAUAAAGUGUAGAGAUAAAGAGAUAGCAAGAGAAUCAUCAUCUUAUUCAUUGAUAGGAGCCCUUUAUAUAGGGAAUUACACAAUACCAAUAUGGUAAGGAUAUGAAUACAUAGAUCUAGUCUAACUACAUAUCCUAUUGCCAUAAGGCCAAGGCACACAUAGAGAAUAUCCUAGAACAUUAUAAUAUUUAUUUUAUUUUCUAUAAUAUAUAUUAUUUUAUUCCGUGUUUCUAAAAUGUACCUGCUUUUAAAUAUUUUACAAAAAAAUACGCGUCCCCACUUUCAAACGCUUCGCUUUUACGUACCGUUUCCAAUUCUAUGCAGCUUAGAUUCUGAGGGACACCCAAAAGAGUUAUAAGGGUUUAAGCAACAAAGCAAAGCUCAAGUUUUUUAGUUUUAUUCACACCCACAAAUUACUAUCUACACCGAGACACAAAACUGUAAUACACACGUGGCGUAAUCAGGAGAGUCCACUAGAGAAACAGUUGCAAGUAAAUCUCAAAGUGAGAGAAGAAUCCCCUCUCUGGUUCUUUAAGGAUGACAAUGCCUUAAAGCUUUGAGCUUUUUGAUGUUCCCUAAGCCCCUAAGACUCAGUCUCAGAUCUGAAGGGCGCGAAGACCUACAUGUAUUCAAUCGGUAAUCAAUCAAUUUCCGUUAAAGUUUUGAUCUUUAUCAUUCUCAUUAGGCAAAGCAUUCUCCUUUAAUAAUUUUCAGUUUUCCAAUUUUCUUUUAAUUUCUUUUGGUUUUGAUUUUCUGAAUAAAUGUAUGUGUUUUUGUACAUAUGUAACACUGCAUUGUACUUUUCUGGUGUUACUAGAUAUGUGAUAGUAUUGUGAUUCUUGUACCUGUUUUUCCAUCUGUAAAUCAGGGUUUGUGUGCCCUUAGAUUCUGAUUGUGCCAUGUUUGGGUAUGAAGAUUGAUAGAAAAAUAUUAUCAGUAAUAAGAAAAGCAUGAUAAGAAGCCUACAUUGUGUUCUAAUGUGGUAGCUAUUGUAAACUAUAAUUUAAAUGUGAUGUUGGUCAGUGAGGAUUCAGUUUCGGUUUUGGUAGAUUUUCAUAGACUACAGUUUCUCUUCUGUUCUGCUAGAUUGGAAUGGAGAUAUGUAGUGUAAGGGUUGUGUCUUGAUUAGAGUGGCUUGCAUGCAGUCUAAAUGCCUUUGUUUGCUGUGGACUUUUUGUCCAUAUUAUAGUUCCAUUCUUUAUGAUCAAUAAAAGUUGUUAUUUGUGGGUGCAGAGGUACAUUUACAAUCUCUGAUUCGAUAUCAUUAGCACGUCUUAUGAUUUAAGGUAUUAUCAUCAGAGCAUUACGUUAGGUGACUCUCUUUAGGCUGUUCACAUACUUUUUCUGUAGAAACCGAAAUUGAAAUGUGUUGCUUAGUUGGUUGUUUCAUCAAUGCUUUUCAAACGAAUUGUGAUUACUAUCCGUCAUAUAUCUCUAGCAUACUGCUUUGAAAUGACAUAUUAAUGCAUAUAUGUAAGUAACUUAGUAUGUUAGUAAGAUUUGUAUGUAAACAUUUUGAUAUUCAAGACCCAAGCACUCUUUCUUCCUAAGUAACUUAGUAUGUUAGUAAGAUUUGUAUGUAAACAUUUUGAUAUUCAAGACCCAAGCACUCUUUCUUCCUAUCGGAAAAGAUUUAUUGGUACUUGCUUCCUAGUUUGAGUCAUGAUAAAGACUUAUUUAGAGAUUGUGGUCCAUAUUUACAAAGGCAUUCAGAGAUUGUGUUUCUAAAGAAAAUUGUCAGGUACAAUUGACCUUGGAGAAGUAGCAUAUAAGAAAUGAAGAGUCCACUUUCACAGAUUCAUACUACUGCGGUAUUUCCAUCUCCAGUCUUUCUAUGGAGGUUCAAGAUUUGUCUGUCUGUUUGUUUGUUUAUUUGUUUUUCGGUUAUUUAGACAUUUUCCAGAUUAUAGCCUUCAUAUUCAUCCCCUUUGGUUGAUCUUCUAGAGCAUUACCUUUUCAGGUACUACUUUUCAUGAUGUGGGGAUUCAGUUGUUGCAAGGUCAGUGUUUUUUUAUCUUAAUCUCAUGUAAUAUGUAAACAAACAAAAUUUGGCAUUUCAGAGGCACAUUAAUUUACAAGCAGAUCGGACAAACUCUCAUUAAUCCGUCUCUCACGAGAUAUGAUGUUUCAAAAUUCACAAUAGCUAUAUUCCUUAAUUAUUGACCAAUAAAUUAUUGGAAUUUACACAUGACACUACACAUAUAGACAAAUUCAAUUCUAUACAUGUACAUCUGUCUCAGAUUAUGUACAAGCUAGUUCCCAUUUACUUAACUUUUAUGCAUGUAAUGUAGUUUGUGCAUCACAAAAGCGAUACCAAGUCAGCGCGCAUUUGAGCCAACUAAGGCCGUGUUGAAUUGCAAUAUUAUUACAGGCCCGGACCUGAGGGGAGGCUGAAGAGGCAGCCGCCUCAGGUCCAAAAAAUCCGGCCAUUUGAGGGCACCAAAAAAUCCAUGGAAGCUAAAGCUUAAAAUCUGGGUUUUCAUUUUUUGAAAUGGAAAACAGAGGAGGAGAUGAGAAAUGGUUGGGUUUAGAAGAGAAGAAAAGCCAGAGAAAGAGAGUUUGAUGAGGUCGAUGAUGAUGAGCAGUGAUGACUCUUUAAAAAUUUGGGUUUUGUGGUCCACUUAUCCCUUCUUAACCACUUUUUUCUCCUUUAACCCUUGUUUUUUUCUAAUCAUCGCCGUGGUUAAAUUUGUGGGCCCUUUCAUCAGAACUAAAAUUGUUGUUAUGCUAGUUAUUCCUCAUUAUAAAUUUAUUUCUUUACAGUGGUCUCUGCUCAAACUCCUCCUUAAUGUCGGGAAAAAAAAACUCCUCUCGCUUAAGAUGAAGCUUUCGAGUACCGUCUGGCACAAAAAAAAAAUUAUAUUACUUUGAAACAUUUUUUUUUGGCCGAUUGAUAUUUUUCUUUUAAACAUUAUGGGGCAUCAUUUUUAUAACUCGUCUCAGGACUUGAAUUCUCAGGCCCGGCCCUGACAAUAUAUCCUGAGUCCCUUCCGGUUUAAACUCAUUCGUUAGACCUCUUCUGUUUGCACCAUUGAUUAGUGGAAGCUUGUUUUUCCUUUCUAGGACAUAAAAAGGAUUUUGAUUUUAAUUAGGUUAGUAAGAGUAAUUCUAUUCAAAACAUAUUAGGAAAUAAUUUCUGAAUUAUAUCUAGAAAAAAGAUCGAUAAAUACUUUGUUCCAUAUCACAUUAGGAAAGUUGAAACUAAAAGAGUUUUAUUGAGGACUACAUUGAUGUUUUCCUAGUCUAGUGAAGUAAUGCAACAAUGGGGUUGAGAAGUAAUGUGUUACGUGUUAUAGGAAAAGGGAGUUAAAUUUGUACCUCUCAUUUUACAAUUCACACUCUCAAUUUUUACCUUUAGUUUAAUAUUUUUUAAAAGACAAAACAUAUGUUUACUAAAAACAAACUUUUAGUUAUUAAAAGAGGAAAAAAAAAGUGUGGAUUGUAAAAUAGAGAACGUAAAUUUCAAUUCUCUAAUGAUUUGUUUGGAUGAGGAUGAAUUCUCGAGAAUUUAAUAAAAAAUAAGAAAUUCUCAAUUUCUUAGAAUUAUUUCCCCCGUUUGGAUUCCUAUCCCGUGGAAUUAGUAAUUUCAACGGGAAAAUAAUCGUAGAAUUUAGAAGCUUAAAUUUCCGACUUGAAUUCCUCAUAAAAUAAGUGUCAUUUGUUAAUUUCUUUGACUAAAGUUAGUCUAAAUACAAAUAAUUAUCAUUUUAAAACUCUACGUCAUGAAAUUAAAAUAACAAAAAAUUUAAUUAAUAGAAUUUAAAUUCAUAAAAUUAUAAUUCUUAUGAUUUAAAAUUUUUUAUGAAAAUUAAAAUUAAUUUAUCCAACACAACGUAAAGAAAUCUAGUGAGGUGACUGAAGAACAAACUUUGAAAAGACCAUUCUCUUCCCGUACAGUGUCGCAUUUGACAUUUCACAUAAUAAUUUGUCAAAGUCACAUCAAUAGUCACAUAAUGAAAUAUGGAAAAUAAUUAAUUGGAAAAUAACUUGUAACUUGUUCUAUCCACGACCUAUGGAUUCUUCACAUCCACAACUAGGAUUUUCUGUCUUGGUUGUAAAAUUCUGGGAAUACAGAAGGAAACCGACCUUUAAAACUUUGAAAGGUCACGUGAAUUAUACAAAAAAACUCAGAAUCUUAUCGAUGAAUUACCAACAAUAUUAUUAGAAGUUUAUUAUUUUAUUUAUUAUUUAUAUCCGAUAAAAAAACACAUUAAUGGAGAUAAUGAUUCCCUUGUUGAUAUGGUGAUAUGGCCGGAUGGCUCUGUUUGGCUCUUCCACUAAUCAAUGGAGUUUUGCUUUUUCUCUAUAAAUUCCUAAAUUGAUUUGCUCUUUUGAUCCCAAGUUUCUCGUAUUUGCACCUAGAUAUUCCACUUACGUCGCAGUUAAUUUGAUGAUUUGAUCUUUAAUGUGGUUGCUAAUUAAGUUGAUUAAGAUUGAAUUGCUUUUCGAGAUAUAUAGAUACCACUGAGAUUAGGCACCCCGAUGCAACUUAAACACAACAACAAGCUGUACAACAUGAAUAUCAAAACAGAUUCCUCCGUGGUCCGCGUCAAACCGAUGAAGCCAUAUGGCCGGUCUCACACCUAAUAGAAGUAGAGUUGCAGCAACGACGCCAAACAAGACGGGCAUAGUUGUUGUAUUGCGUACCCUUAGCUAGAUUUUCUUGUAUUUGGCACAUUAAAUGUAUAAAAACGAUAGAUUUGUUCAUUCUAAUUUCAUUUUUGACGGCUUGACGACUUUCAUUGGAUAACAGUGAAAUCAACACAACCAAGAGACUCAAAUAUAUAUAUAUAUAUAUAUAUAUAUAUAUAUAUAUAUAUAUAUUCACACAGCAAGCUUUCUCUAAGGGAUCCCUUUUUUGGGGUUAUAUGAGGGAUUAAGAAUUACACCAACUUUUCGAUCACCAUUUCCAAUCUUAACCGUUCAAUCUCUUCAUAUAUAUGAGUGGAUCAAUUCUGAAAAUUUUCAUCCCAAGUGGUGAUCGUUGAGGUGCUCAAAACUGCGAUUUGCAUGAACGGUUCAAAUCUGCAGGCAGAUUUGAACCGUUUAUUGAUUUAAGUUAGUUCAAAGCCUUAACGAUCACCAAUUAGGAUGNNNNNNNNNNNNNNNNNNNNNNNNNNNNNNNNNNNNNNNNNNNNNNNNNNNNNNNNNNNNNNNNNNNNNNNNNNNNNNNNNNNNNNNNNNNNNNNNNNNNNNNNNNNNNNNNNNNNNNNNNNNNNNNNNNNNNNNNNNNNNNNNNNNNNNNNNNNNNNNNNNNNNNNNNNNNNNNNNNNNNNNNNNNNNNNNNNNNNNNNNNNNNNNNNNNNNNNNNNNNNNNNNNNNNNNNNNNNNNNNNNNNNNNNNNNNNNNNNNNNNNNNNNNNNNNNNNNNNNNNNNNNNNNNNNNNNNNNNNNNNNNNNNNNNNNNNNNNNNNNNNNNNNNNNNNNNNNNNNNNNNNNNNNNNNNNNNNNNNNNNNNNNNNNNNNNNNNNNNNNNNNNNNNNNNNNNNNNNNNNNNNNNNNNNNNNNNNNNNNNNNNNNNNNNNNNNNNNNNNNNNNNNNNNNNNNNNNNNUGAAAUUUUGCAGAGAUGAUCUAAUCAAUAUUAUCUAGAUACUAGACGGUGGAGAUGAGGAAAUUCGAUCGAAAAGUGGUGCAAAAAUGGAAAUCCGCACCAAAAAAUUGAUGCGGAUGUCCGCAGCUAAGAAAAUCAGUAUACAUAUAUAUAUAGUCUUGGUAGAAAUUAUAGUCUCUUUAUAAACCUGCUCAAUGCAAGUAAAAAAGAGUAUUACAUUUCUAUAUGAACCCAAUACAUCUUCAAAAACAAGGCUUCAAGCCAAAGUCACCCAACUAUUACUUCCAAAAAGCUGUGACACCAACAUAGUAAACAACUUUAACAAUGAUAAAGAUUAAAAACCAUGGCUUCUCUUCUUAUGUAUGCCAUUUUUACAUGGAUUUGUCUUUGAUUCUGAUUUGUACAUGAUUUAUAAUGGUCGUAUUAAUUUGGUGACCACUUCAUAACCAAUUUUUUUGUAUUUUCUCUAAUCCCGACAAUUUUCAAAGAGUCCCAAAAAAAAAAAACUAAUAAAUCUUUCUGUAAAAUCUGGUAAUACUUGAUUCCAAUAAAUUAGAAAUAAAUCUUCUGAAAUUGGUGAAACAUAUAGAUAAGGGUGGACUCAGUGGAGUGAUAAUAUUCCUAGUGCAUGGACCAUAAAAACUCAUAUAAAGAUGAUUAACAUGUGAAGAGUGCUACACGUGAUACAGAAAGUAUGAAUGGACCUUAUUUAUGUUUUCUGUCCCUUACUGAAUUAAGGACUCCUCUACCGCCACGUUUAAGAUAUGAUCCUACACCAAAUAUCAUUGGGGGUUUAAUAUUACCAUUUUUUACUUUUAACUUUUGUGUCUGUCACCUCAUUUGGCACCAACAAGAUAAUGUGUUACACUUGGAGUGUGCUUGUUGGUAGUUCUACUUUCUUUUUUGUUUGGGUAGGGUUAGGGUUUGAUUUUUGAUCAGGGGUUUCUGUCACUUUCUGUUUUGGGACUAGUCAAGUUUGCGAUCUUGCUCCCUUAUAAAGUUUGUCAUGAUAUUUUCCUUUGGUUGAUAAUUAGUAUGUGAUGAUGUUAUUCUUAAGAAAUAUGAUGAUGUUGGGGUGUUGGAUAUUAUCAUUCCAUACUUAGUGAGUUAGUGUAGAGACUAAUCAUAUAAUUGUAAAAUGGAAGGUUGAAUACCAUCUAUGUGACAUGCAUUAAUGUAUAAAUCACAUGAAGUUAUGUCCCCAUUAUGAUAAUGAGAUUAUGAAAGCAUUGAAAGGCAAUGGAUCUCUAAAUAAUUGCUAGCUUAACUUUAACUACAGAUGUACCCAUAUAUGCAUAAAGAAAUCAAUACAUGUAAACUUCUUUUUAACCCUAUAUAUCUAUGCAAAUCCAUACUCUAUAGCACUAUGAUUUGCAUUUGUAUUAUACAUACCCUCAAGAUCUUGAGGACUCUUUGUGUCUCCACUCAAGGUUGCAUGCCUCUUCCUCACCGGAACUUCCAACAGCUCGGUCUGCAAAUUGUAAGUUCACUAUGUUCUCUUGAUCAAUAAACUUAAGCUUCGUAUAUAUGCAUAUCUGAUUCUUCACUUCUGAUGAAAAUGUCGCUGCGUCUAAAGAACCCAGUGAUCAGGUAAGAAAUUAAGACCAAGCAAAGAUAAUGAAUUACCUCGGAUUUGUUUCGAGCUUUGUAGGGGUGACACCGUGAGGGUGUGUUGUUGGUGUGGGAUACACGGCGGUUGGCGGUGGAUAUCUACCAUGGUUGGGAAAACGACGGAGGAUUGAUGACGGAGCUCGACGGGUGUGAAAAUCCAAGUUAAGCAAAGCUAGGUCACUCUAGGUCUGCUCCCCAAAUGCGACACGUGGACGUCAAAUACCCCCUUCGUGUGGCACAAAACCAAAUUUCGCGCGAGAUAUUCUGAGACGACCUUUGACUGCUCUCUUUGUGUUUUUGUUUCAGUUUGAGAGCGAGAGAGAGCUCCCUCCUCUCCUCAAGUUUUUCUCAACUACAUUCCCAGAACCUGUUUCACAAUAUCCUUAUCCAUUUUGGUUUCAAAUCCCCACGCAUUUAGUUCCCUGUUCUCUUUGUUCCAUUUUUUCUUCGUUUUUAAACUGGUGAUUGUUUCAGAAGCCAAGAGUGAGGCGUAUGAUCGAACACGUAGGAUGCAUGGAAGAUGAACCAUUAGGUUUUUGAGUUUUGGGUUUCUGGUACAUACCCUCCUUUUAAUUUGGUCUCAUGAUUUCUGGGUUUUGAUUGGUUUUUGGCUCUGUUGUUUUAGUGAAGAACUAUUUCGGAAACCGAAGUUUGUUUAGGCAUUUUAUCGAACACUUAGUGUGCAUAGAAGAUGAAGGUAUAGGGUUUUUGAGUUUGGGGUUUUUGGUAGAGACCCACUUUCUCUUUUAGUCCAAUGGUUUCUGGGUUUUCGUUAGAUUUUUUGCUAUCUUCCUUUCUGUAUUACAAAACGCUCACUGUAUCAGCCUUUGAAAUUUGGUUUUAGUGUCUCUUGUAGCCUUUUUGGGUAGUUUGGUUUCGUUUUGGUGAUAGAAUUUCAGGGGUUGUGUUGUUGUGCUUAUUGUUUUGCUGUUUUGAUUUGAAAUUUAAAUGUUUCAGAAUCAAAGUUUCUGUCUUUUUUGUUUUGUUUAGAAGGAAAGUGUGUGUGUAGCUGAGAAAAAUGGGGGAAAUAAAAAAUUGAGAUAUUUUUUUUGUUCUAACUAGUUCUAUUUCCAAAUUUUGUUUCCUAUUUCUGUCACUGUGAUAAAAUCUCCAAUAUAAUAUGCUUCAACAGGUUAGAGAGUCAGUUACAUGAUAUUGGAAAUAUUACAUAUUAUAGAAUUUUUCAGGUCAAUCAAACAUGUAAUUAACAUUAAAGAGGAAAUAAAAAGAUACCAUGUAAUAUUCACUUCCUUUAUCUGCUUUGUCCACUCUAAUAAUAGUAAGAAGUUGUCCAGAAAGUGGUAUUUGAUUUGUUCAUUGUGUGUUUCUGAUCUUCUGAUUGCAGAAUCAUUCACUUUGAAAGAUGGUGGCAUUUGGGAAAAAGUUGAGAGAAUCCCAGAUCCAAGAAUGGAAAGGGUAUGUUCAAGUAAUUUGAAUUGCAAGUGCUCUUCGCUAUAUGCAAAGGCUUAUAGUCUAAUUUCUGUACUUCUUUCAGACACUACAUUGACUAUAAGUUAAUGAAGAAGAAACUCAAGCGAUAUACGCAACAAGUUGAAGUUGGAACAGAAAAUCACCUUAUUGUUCUGAAGGACUUCUCUAGAUUGCUAGAUUGUCAGGUAAUUACUGCAAAGAAUUAUAUUUUUUUUAUUUUUUUUAAAACUGAGCUGCUAUACAAUUCCAUAUUCACUUUAUGAUGUGCAGACUGAUAAUCGUGGGAGGGAUAUUGUGAGAACCCCUUGACUUUGUGACAUUCUUUUCCAUCUGAAAUUGUGACCUUUGCUGCACUGGAAGUCAUUCAUUAUUUUAUCUGCUCCUAAUUUUACUAAAUGUGAGGCCAAUGAAUCACUGCUUCUUAAAAACAAUGUGUCACUUGAUUUCGUCUUGAUUUCCAAUAUGUAAGAUGGAAAGGGCCAUCGUAUAAUCUAGAGUGAAGUUUUAUAACAUAUUAUUGUCUUAUUGAGAUCAAUCACAAGGCCUUUUUUUUUUUUUCCCUAGCAGGACUAAUACACUUUCAUUUCUGGACAAUUUAACUGUUGAAAUGUUGAAUCAUAGAUGUAACCAUGAAAAUAAUCUUCCAAUUUUUUGUUUCUAUAUUGCAGAUUGAGAAGUUUGUUCUGUUUCUGUUGGAACAACAAGGAAUUCUUGCAAGCAGGUUAUCCACUCUUGGAAAACAGAAUGAUUCUCUUUUACAGCAGGCAGAUAGAAAAAAAGUAUCUGAAUUGCGAGAAGCAUAUCGAUCAAUUGGUCAAGAUCUCUUAAGAACUCUCUUUUUUGUUGAGAUGAAUGCCGUUGGUCUGCGUAAGAUAUUGAAGAAGUUUGACAAGCGAUUUGGCUUUAAAUUUACCAAUUACUAUGUGAAAACCCGUGCAAAUCAUCCUUAUUCCCAGUUACGACAAGUCUGUAAGCAUGUGGUAAUGUAUCAACUUGUUCUCUUUGUUGUUAAAGUUCUGGUUUUACACUCUUGGCGUAUUAUAGAACUGUACAUUAUCCAACUACUGUCUCUAUAACUGAAUACAACAAUAAUCAGCUAGCACUAAACAUGCAGGGCAUUGGAGCCGUUGUGGGAGCCAUAUCUCGAAACCUUGCUGACCUCCAAGAUCAUCGUGGGAGCUACAUAUCAAUAUAUGAUCAGCCUGCUUUAUCCCACCCGGUUUACUCUUACAUCCAUUGAAGUAUUCUAUGAAACAUCGAUACUCUAUUCUAAUCUUUCUGACUGAAUUUCAAAACAUUAUUUAUAGUACUAGAUAGUUCUUAAAUUCAUAGGCAGACAUCACUCAGAAGGCUUAACUUGUUGACACAACCGUCUUAAAAUUUUCUGCCACUAAAUUCUAUCUUACUUGACCCAGAUAAAGACUGUGAUUAGGUUUAUUCAAACUGGCAGUCCUCUUAAUACGAGAGACGCAUGCAUUGGUAUGCAAGAAAACUUUUAAUUAAGUCACACAGAGCUGAGAUAUACUGAGCAGAGACUUAAUGGUUUGAAAAAAGGGAUUGGUACCUAGUCUUUCUCUGGUCUCACAUCCAAUUGGUACCUAGUCUUUCUCUGGUCUCACAUCCAAGUACGAUAAUAGAGUUAGGAUUUUGUUUCACAAUGUUACACUGUGUUACAUAUAGGGAUAAUAAAAAUAAAAAAACUCCAUUGAAAAUUAUACAUGUGUUAGUAGAUUCUAAACAUUUCGCCAGCAUGUUAGCCUCCUUUUAGGCUUUUGCAGGUCUAGUUCUACAUUCCACUGACCUAAAGUACUUGUUGAAUUGCAUUUGCAGGAUCCAGUUGUUGAUUCUAUCAGAGCCGCAGUGGACAGGUUGUCAAACUCGACAAAUUUCCUCCAUUAUUUGGGAAAACAUGCACUUAUUGUGCAGGACGAGUUUCCAAGUUCAUCAGAGGAUUCUACUGAUGACAACUAUCAUUUCAUGUCACUUCUCUUGAAUUUGGCAAAUACAUUUCUGUAUAUGGUCAAUACAUAUAUAAUUGUCCCGACCGCUGACAGAUACACCAUGACCCUUGGAGCUGCCGCAACAGUCUGUGGUGUUGUGAUUGGGUCAAUGGCUGUUGCCCAGGUGUUUUCUUCAGUUUAUUUCAGCGCAUGGUCAAAUAGAUCAUACAUGAGACCACUUGUGUUCAGUAGCAUAGUUCUUUUUGUGGGGAAUACCUUAUAUGCACUGGCGUAUGAUCUUGAUUCGUUAUCAGUACUUCUGAUUGGUCGACUCUUCUGUGGGUAAGUGACUCUUCUAUCAUAGAACUAAAGUUUAUUUUUUGAAUUAGCUGGUUUCUGUUGCAUGUCACCAUUGUCAUGCUGAAACUUGAAUGUAUUAUGGGACAUAUUAGCAUUAUUCUGCUUUCAUGUGAAAAUUCAAAAGUAGUAGUAUACUAGUACACAAAUGUGCAAGUGAUUAAAGUGUGUUGUUGUCUUGCAUUAUGUUUCUUAAGGAAGAUUUUCAAUCUAUCUUAUUCCCGUAGAGAACUAACUUUUACAUUCCAUUCUUGAUACAGACUAGGGACAAUUUUUUAUUUUUUAUUUUUAUUUUUAGUUUUAGGGACUAUUUUUUUUUUCUGAGAAGGCAGUGUAUAAAGAAAUAAAUGGAAGUCUUAAAAAUGAAUUACAUAAUUUGAUGACAGUUUUGAAAGAAUAUUGAGUUAUGUUUUGGGAAUUUCAGCAAAUCCCCCAACUUCCUUAUCAGUAAAAAAAUGGAAUGCGUACUAGAUGUUUGACACAUGAAAUUAUAUCAAGUAUGGUUAUAAGGAUGUAAGUUGCAUCAACUGGUUUUGGAAGUCUAGAAUGCCUUGGCUUGAUAUAAUUGAGUCGGUUGCGUGAAUAUGCAUACUUGUAUUUGCUGAUCUGGUUACUUCAUUUAAAUUUAUAUUCCUGUCAAGCUUUGUUUCUGAAUGUAGUAUGUAUACAUAACCUUGUUUUUGCAUAAACAUACAUGCUGUUAUUUUUUCAGGUUAGGUUCUUCUUGUCAAGCUUUCUUUCUGAAUGUAGUAUAUAUAUACAUUACCUCAUUAUUGCACAUAAACAUACAUGCUGUCAUUUUUUUUCAGGUUAGGUUCUGCAAGAGCAGUUAAUCGGCGUUAUAUCAGUGAUUGUGUACCCCUUAAAUUGCGGAUGCAAGCUUCUGCUGGUUUUGUCAGUGCUAGUGCACUCGGAAUGGCUUGUGGUCCUGCUCUUGCUUGCUUAUUCCAAACUGAGUUCAAGAUUUACAAGUUGACAUUCAAUGAAGCCACAUUACCUGGUUGGGUCAUGGCUCUUGCAUGGCUUGUAUAUUUGCUGUGGCUAUGUAUUUCUUUUAGAGAGCCUUCUCGUGAAACCAAAGAAAAUGUUGUGCCAGAAGAAUCUAAUUCUGGUAUGUGUACAUAAAAAUUUAAUUACUUGGUUCCUUUCAGUAUACUAUAUCUCCCCGAUUAUACUAUAUAAUCUGGAGUUUUGCUGGAACAGGGAGGUAUAUAAAUGGUUCUCGUGAAACUAAAGAAAAUGCCUUGCCAGAAGAAUCUUAUUCUGGUUUGUAUACAUAAUAGCUUGGUUCUUUUCAGUAACUCUAUUUCCUGGUUAUACUAUAUGACUCUGAGUUUCGUUGGAACAGGGAGGUUUAUAAAUAUAUCUGUGGACAAUUAUUCUACUCAACCAUUACUGAUGAACUCCAACAAUAAGCUACAAGAUGAAGACGAAGACGAGGAUGAAGAUUGUGAUGAUGCUGAAGAAGAUUCCAAAGAAAUCCAAAAGUCAGUCAAUUCAAUUGUGUCAGCAUAUAGAUUGCUUACACCAUCAGUAAAGGUAUCGAGUUUCUUCUAAUCAUCAUUUGAUGCAUCAACCAUCAUGCACGUCUCUCUGGCUUCGAGUCGGUGUCUAUUUGGUCCUUCCAAUCUUUCUUGGUUGUACAGUGCGACUAUUCAUUACUGGUCUGAUAUCUUACUUGAACUUUCUAAUUCCCACCAGGUUCAACUACUUGUAUAUUUUAUGCUCAAAUAUGCUAUGGAGAUCGUACUUGCUGAGUCAAGUCUCAUCACUGGAUAUUAUUUUAUUUGGUCAACUAGCAGCGUCGCAAUCUUUCUUGCAUGUCUUGGGUUAACAGUGCUUCCAGUCAAUGUUCUUGUCGGAAGCUAUAUCAGCAACAUAUUUGAAGAAAGGUAGAUCUUUGAGUAUGAGAAAUCACUAUGUUAAACUAUAACGCACAUUUUCUCCACUGCUGAUUCAUAUUUGUGUUGACCUGAUUGCAGGCAAGUUUUAUUGGCCUCUGAAAUUCUGGUAUGCAUAGGUAUACUACUAAGCUUCCACAUCUUCAGCUCUUACUCUGUGCCUCAAUAUGUCGGCUCAGCUCUUCUAACCUUCGUGUCAGCUGAAGUCCUUGAAGGUGAUAUCUUGUCUUUAUAUUCAAACUCCAAUUGUGUUGCAACUUUAGUCUGGACUGUGGGAGAACCCACAUUUAGUUUAUCUAUUUACGAAAUAUGAUAAGUGGAUAUUGCUGGUAACUAUUGGUAGUAAUUUUGGCAAUUUUUUUUUCCUGCGUUUUUUUCCCCUGAGAUGUUAUCAAUAUUUUCUUUGCUCAGUGCCUCAACUUAUGCAGUCUUCAUUAAUCCAUGACGUCAUUGUUCAAGUUUCUAGAUGCAUCACAUCUUUCUCAAUUCAUGCUAUAUAUUUGCUAAAAAAAACUAACACUUGCUUGACUAAUCUAGGUGUGAACUUAUCACUCCUAUCUCGUGUCAUGUCAUCAAGACUUUCUCGUGGGACUUUCAAUGGUGGAUUGCUUUCAACUGAAGCAGGGACCCUGGCCCGGGUAGUUGCAGAUGGAACAAUAACCCUAGCUGGGUAUUUAGGUGUAAGCAAGGUCUUGAAUACCACCUUGGUUCCUUCUUUGUUCUUCUGUGUUUGUUCCAUUGUUGCCACCUGCUUCACCUACAACUCUCUCUACUAAUUUCCCUUGGAUGACAUAUGAUGUUGUAUAUUAGAGCUUAACUCGUGUCUAUGCGAACAAUGCUUUUCGGUGCUUGUGUUCAGAUCAUUUCAAAUGAAAAUGAGAAAAUCAGCCCUUUGUGUAUAUCUUUGUCAAGUGCUCCAAAUGCUAUGCAAAACUAGUGAAUUGGAGAAUCUGCAUUAUAUGAUUGAUCAUCACAGCAUUUGCAUUAAUCGACCCCCUAAUUUCUAUACAAUGUGUUGCUCUAUUAUGGCAUGGAUUUGUCAAAUUAGCCUUUUUGCUCCUGGUCACUAUAAGGGUGUUCUUGAUGCCCGUUUAUUGGCCUCUCUUGGAGUUGCUCCUAAAGAUGGUAAGGCUCCUAGAAUUCAACAUGUCUUAGGGUGCGUUUGGUGCAGCUUAUAAGCUUUUGGGCUUAUAAGCAAGAAUGAAGUUGUUGUUUGGUAAACACAUAAAUAAGCUCCUUUUUAAACAACUCGAGUCUAUUUUUCAGGUAAAAGGAGAAGGACCCCUCCUUUCACUUAUAAGGAGAAGUCAGAAAAACGCGGUACUGUAGCUGCGAAUUAAUGAAAUUUUCGAAAUGGCAAUGGGUACCCUUGUAAACUUCAACAAAUUACAAGGGAGCCGCCUCCAUCGCGUCUCAACUCUCUCACUUUCUCAUAGCUCGCUCCUCCGUUUCUUCAACAUCAACGCGUCGAAGAUCUCGGCACCUCUUCAUCGCUGCUGAUGUUGGCCGUCGCGAUCUUCGUCAACAAGUUCCCCUGAGUCUUCUCCGCCACAAGUAUCUCUUCCUCCGGCGCCUUCGACCCCCGGUCCAUCGUCCUCGCCGUCUCCGGCAUGUCAAUCUCGUCGGAAUCCCACCAUCCAGAUCUUCAUCAACACUCCCUUCACAGCACUCUGUCCGUCGUCGGGGACGAAACCUGGCCGGGAGAAAUAUCUUAUAUCCUAGUUGCUGUUUUAAUAUGGGUAUGAUUGAUCGAAUCCUUAAUUAUUGAAUGUAUACACUUGCUUCAGUAUGUCUUAUUUUUCUUGGGUAGAUUGUUGAAUUGAUAUGUCUUGGGUAUGUGCCUUCGUCUUUGAAAGGGGGUUCUUCUGUUUGCUGCAAGUCUAGGUGCGAGGAUAGAGUUUUAACAUCAAUUCGGGGACUGUUCAAUGACUCUGAGCUUGAUUCAUUUGGCCUUAUCCCGUCAAGCUUGGUAGGUGAAGAUUACACAAAAUCUGUGAAGGUAAAUUACUUCUGUUUCAAUUAGAAUCUCUUGCUUGCGUAGGUAUCUACAUGCAUUUCAAUUAGUGGAUGCCUUUAUGCAGAUUUGAUGACUAUCAUUUAGUUUUUGUUGUUUGAUUUGUUGUAUUGCUUGUAGUAUAUAUAUUGUUGCUUGAUAAAUCUAUUGAAGAUAAUAAUUUGAGCAAGUACAAUAUGUUUAAGUUGCAGUAGUAGAUAGCAGAAUCUCAGGAUUUUGGUUUGUCUAUAUCAGUAACACUUUUUUGAAGUGUAGCAGUGUUCUACUGAAUUUUCUGGAAAACUAUUGUUAUGAUCUAUUUGAACUAUGUUUUACCUGGCUUACCGGUCUUCAAAUGUUCUGAAAAUUUGACAGGUUUCUUUUAAGUUAGUUAUCUAGCAACCCGGAAAUUUUCAGCUUAUUUCGAUGAAAAUUACUCGGUGAAUUUUUAAAGUUUAGUCUGCAUUGGAAACAAGUUCCAGAAUUUUAACUGCAUAUCUUUGUUUUCUGCUCAGUUUCGAACUCUUAUUUAAACCAUUUUAUAUCUGAUCUUCUUGUAUGUAAAAGUAGACAUUCCAAUAUCUGUUUCACAACUGAUUUCAAGUCAUUUGGUCUUAAAAUGAAUAUUUGGUGGUUUUUCUAAGUUGUUGUUGCUGCUGCUAUAGAUUUUUCUGAAUCCUGAAAAUUUGCUCAGUUUUUGUUCUAGUUUUGCCACACUUCCCGAACUUUUGAAUUGCUUGAGAUUUUUAGUAUGUUCUUUCUUUACAUGUUUACAAGGAAAGUUGUAAUUCAUGGAUUGUUCAUAUUCAUAUGAUUGAUUCCAAGUACAUUUAUGCAGAUGAGUUCUUUGCAAUUGAAUUUCACCGACCUCUGCAACAACGGAUCAUCCCUCGAUGAGCUCAAUACAAUUUUCCACUAACUACUGCAAUUGAAAUUUUGGGAUGGUGUUGGAGAUGCUCUAAAGAAAGCAAGUGAUGCCAGUUAGCUACUGCAACUAAGCACUGUAUAGUACUCUGUUCUUGUCCAUCCUUUAGCUACAAACUGAAGUCUCAUCUACAUUUCAUGCUGAGGAACUCAAGCUAUCAUGUGGAUCUAUUGUUCACAAUAAAAAACUUAUGUAUUCAGUUAUUUACAUGUAACUAUCGGAUUGAUGUAUCGAAAAUCAAUUAAAAAGCUAUGGUCCGAUCAUGUCCAUUACCACCCAUUACCUAAAUAGUUGUACAAUUUAUUUUAGAAUUAUCCAAUAUUGAUCAUAGGAUCACCAUGAUUUAUAAAAAUUGGAAGGUGAAACUAGCCAUAAAAAAAUAAUUAUAGUAGUAGCAAACAAUCAAGUCAAAAUAAUAUGUCCAAAUUGGUCAUUCCACAACAAAAAGCACAAGUCAGUUUUCAGUUUACCAAACACGUUUCUUCUGUUUUUGCGACUCACAACACUUAUAAAAAGUCAGUUUACCAAACACUCAGCCACUUUGCUUUCUAGUUACUUAUUCUUAAGAAUAAGUAAAAAGCUUGCUUUUUUUAAAAGUACAGCUGCACCAAACACAGCCUUAUGGCAGCCUCCGUUUUUUCCUUGGAUCAAAGUUAACACAGACGGUUUAGCAAAAGUCAAUCUAGGUCUAGCAGCUUGUGGGGGUGUGUUUCGUGAUGCCUCAGGUGGGUUUUUAGGGAGUUUUUGUCAUUCGUUUGGAUGGAAUACUUCAUUUUAUUUUGAACUUUAUGCUGUUAUCUUGGCAAUUGAAAUUGCUCAUGAUAAAGGGUGGGUCUACUUAUGGUUGGAAAGUGACUCUGUUAGUGUGGUAGCUUGCUUCUCUUCCAGGUCUUUUUCUCCUCCGUGGAACUUAAGAGUUUGUUGGAAUAACUGUCUUUCUAUAAUUCGUCAAAUGAACUUCCGUUGCAGUCAUAUUUUUAGAAAAGGAAAUAUGGUGGCUGACAAGAUAGCAAACUUGGGGUUGUCAAAUGCUUCAUUUACUUGGUAUGAUAAUCCUCCUACUGAGCUUCAUGGUUUCUUGCAAGCGGUUAUUUGGGUAUCCUUAAUUAUCGGUUUUCAUAGUGGGAAGAUUGCCUGGUUUUUUAUGGGUAGAAGAAACAAUGUCUUUUUGUAUGUUGUUUUGGUUUGUAAUUGGAAUGGUUUUGGCCUAGUCCCCCAUUCCUCUUUUCAUGUAAUUUCUUUUAUUAUUUUAAAUAAAAAUUCUGAUCAGGGACGGGCGGUGGGUUCCCGGUUGUAGCGGUCUCCUUUGGGGUAGAGUAGGUGCUCUGUCAACCACCAGACUGCUACAGAGGAGCUGAUAUCGCCUAAUCCUUGUCAGUUUAAAAAAAAAAAAAAAAAUCACAGCAUUUGCAUUGUAUGACCAACACAUGGAUACUUGGCAAAAUGCAUACCGAUUCUGCGCAAAGUAAAGCCAAUAUAGCCGAGAUACCUUCAGCUCUUCAAGUAUGUCAAGCAAUUAUGCAGACGUUGAAGUCCAUUCGUUUAGCAGUAGCAGAGGAUAGCAUUUUGGUGGCUGAUUAUAAAAAAACCUGUGGCCGUUGGAUGUUCUCAGGGUGCUGAAAUUUGGAGGAUUCAUUUGAGAGGUUAAGCAUGACUUUAUCACCGUCCCAUAUGUUAGCAGUCUGUUUGUUUUCCAUGUGCUCGCUUUUGCACAAGGAAAAAGAAAAGAAGGAAGAAGAAGAAGAAUGAGUAGCUGCUGAAUUAUCAAGUAAAACUAAAAUGUCAAAACCUCAAAUUUGUGAAAAUCUUUGGAGAGGAAAGCAUUUCCUAAAUUUCCUAGGACUUGAAAAAUAUAUCUACUUAUAUGGUUCGAGACAUAUGUUUUCCCCUUGAAAUCUUGAGACCAACUGACCAAGGCCUUGCUAGGGUACAUUCCAACCCCUUAAGGAUGCUCAUUGGGUUCCUAGAGCAACACUAAAGACAUCCUAAACCAACAUUUGAGAGAUGGUUCACUAUUGCACAAAGAUAAUUUCAAGCUCAAAGUAUGAAUCGUAGUUUGUAAGUCUUAGUCAAAGAUUCUCAGUUAUUUGAGAGGAGGUAUCAUGAAAAACAAAAACCUUAAUUGAAAAUAGAAAAGAAACGAUUUUAAAAAAAAUCUUUACAUGUGGUUAAUCGACAUCUUUUCCGUUAAGUUUUAUUCAAAUCAAUUGUAUAUGUUUUUGGACAAACUGAAACUAAAUUAUAAAUAAAUUCACUUAUCCAGUAUUUUUUCUAGAUUCGGAUCUCGCCCUUGCUGUAUUUUUGAGUACGCUGGUCGGUCUAAAUGAAGAGCUAUUUUUCUUUUCUUCUCAAAAGCAGAAAAAAAAAAAUAUCAAAAAUUAUGUAACUGCAAAGCAAGUCCUAAAUGUCCUAUGAAAACACAUGACAUCCCCUCGAUUUGGUCCCCAAAACCAAAUGGACAAGAACAGUAUUUGACACACCAGCGAAACACAACUCCUUGUUGCUCCUAGUACUGCUACUUAACUUCCCCCUUCUAGAAUCCCUUCUUUCUCUCUCUAGAUUUCUGGGUUCCAACUCUUUUAGAGAGAGAGAAAGAGAGAGAGAGCUCUGUGAUUUUAAGAAUGGCAGGCUCUGAUUUACCAGAAGGGACCCUGCAGAACGUACUGGAGCAGGAGACCCUCAAGUGGGUCUUCGUUGGCGGCAAAGGUGGUGUUGGCAAAACGACGUGUAGUUCAAUCCUCUCGAUCCUUCUCGCCAGUGUCAGAUCCUCUGUUUUGAUCAUCUCCACUGACCCUGCUCACAAUCUCAGCGACGCUUUUCAGCAAAAGUUUACCAAGACUCCUACUUUGGUUAAUGGGUUCCCCAAUUUGUAUGCUAUGGUGAGCUUUCUUGAUUACCAAGUUGGAAUCUUUGGUGUUCUUUAUGGUUUAAUUUGAUUGUUUUCGGGUGAUCUUGGGUUUUCGGAGAAGAAUUGAGGUGGGAAUUUGGUUUUUGAUGAAGUUAGGAGACACCCAGAUGUUGGUUUGAUUGAUUAUGUAGGUGUAGUUGCUAGAAUAUGCUGAUAUACGAUCACAUUGAGAAUUUCGGGUUCACUGGUAUGUUGUUGGUUGAGAAUUUGCGUACACCCUUUUCUGAAUGUAGAGUGAAUUCUUGAUUAUGUAUUAAUUGUGGAGAGUGGAUUUUGCAUUAUACCUAGUCUCAUUACUUGGUUAUGAUUCUUUAUAGGAAGUAGAUCCUACUGUUGAGCAUGAAGACAUUGGCGGAGAGAAUGGAAUGGAUAGUUUGGUUUCUGAGCUAGCAAAUGCUAUUCCAGGGAUUGAUGAGGCAAUGAGCUUUGCAGAGAUGUUAAAGUGAGAUUCGUGAUCCCUUCUGUUUGUUUCUUUGCAACCUUGUUAUUAGAUUUUAGCUGCCGAUAUAAUGUUUGUGUUCAUAUUAUUCUCUGCAGAUUGGUUCAAACAAUGGACUAUUCUGUAAUUGUAUUUGACACUGCACCAACUGGACAUACGCUUCGGCUGUUGCAGUUUCCAUCAACAUUAGAGAAAGGUCUUGCAAAAGUGAUGUCUUUGAAAAAUAAAUUUGGCGGUCUAAUGAGUCAGGUACUAAUAGAGUUACAAGGAAUUACAAUAAUGAAUUAUUAGUACAAGGAAUUACAAUAAUGAAUUAUGUUGGCAUGUGGCAAAUUGCACACAAUAAAUCACAUGAUUGUUAUUAAGUUUUUUCAGCUAAUAGUUGUGUAUCUAUUCUUUAAUGGCUUCUGUGGAAUCCUAUUUUGUAUAAAUUUAGCGACUCCGUCUUGGUCAUAUUCUAUUCCACACUCCACAGGUUACUCUAUGUUCCUUUGGAUACUAGAUUAGGUUAUCUAAAUUUAAAUAUUUAUGUUUGAAACUUUGAGUAUUAGAAUUAUUAAUGGUUCAUCUUAAUACUUCAGAUGUUACCUGACUUUAAUAUGUUGUAUUCCAAUAUCAAAAUUCUUUUACCUUUUCAAACACCUAGUAGAAAUUUCAAAAACUCCUUCCCUUCAUGUUUAUUGUGAACAUAUUGAUGCAAGCAAGUUAACCUUCAAACUAAGGAGUCUAAUGCAUGUCUCACAUUUUAAUUCUACAAAUCUAAAUACAAUCUAUGUGAAUCCUGCAUUACCUUAUUGACCAACACAGGAGAAAACUCAAUCCUAUAUUGAUACCUUGAUAUGUUAAAUUUAACUUAUGUGUUUCAGUCUGCAGUGUGACCAUGUGCACUUUGGACACAUCUGUCAGUAUAGGAUUCAACUGGAGACCAUUUUUACUUCCUUCUUUUUUCACCUUUUCAUGAGAUAUAUCCCUAUGUCAUGUAUUUCAUCGUAGAUGAAGUACUCUUAAACGUGAAUCGGGUUACAAGCAGUAGUUGGUUUUGUAAAGGAUGGAUUUUUCUUUGAUGUCUGCAUAUGAGAUGCUUAUAUUAGUCUGAAUUAAAUCUGGGAUAAGAUGACUUUAACUGUGUGUUUGCUUUAGAACAGACUGUAUAUAGUAAGAUGUUGAAAUUACGUUUUUUAUUUGAGCAGUUUACGGAGUUUCAUUACCACUGCCUGUUCAUUCUAAUGUUAAUUGCUGCUGGGCAUUACUUUUCUAGUAUUUUAGUCAAGUAGUUAUCUUGCUAUUGAGAGAACACUUUCCCAUUUUCUCCCUUAUCUUUAAUUUAUUUUCAGUUUUCAUUACCAAUCUUAAAUUGUUGAUACUAAAUAUUCCAAAAUUUCUGGCUGCAGAUGACCCGCAUGUUUGGUAUGGAUGAUGAAUUUGGAGAGGAUGCGAUUUUAGGAAAGCUUGAGGGGAUGAAAGAAGUAAUAGAGCAAGUUAAUAAGCAAUUCAAAGACCCAGUAAGUCUGUCUUUAUUCUCUCUGUUGACUCUGGUGAGAUAUGCAAGUUGUUGUUUUGGAUUUGUAAUCCAUUGGAGUAAACUGAAAAGGGAGAACAAAAUAUUCUCCUUGUUUGGGUUUCGGAUCCCAAAAAGAAUAAAAAAACCUCUUCCACUUAUGUGAUAGAAGCUAGCCCCUUCAGUUUCUUUAUUCAUAAAAAAGUGGAUAUACUUUUUCAAGUUGUCAGUUUUGAAAGCCCAAGGAGUUUUAGUUUAUCUGUCUGAAAGUCUUGUCUGCUUCAGGAUUAUUAUGAAAACCACAUUAAAUUCCGUACUUAAUAGGUUUUUGUUGAUGCACUCAUAUUUAACUUUUUGCAGGACUUGACAACUUUCGUUUGUGUUUGCAUUCCUGAAUUCCUCUCUCUCUAUGAAACAGAGAGAUUGGUGCAGGAACUCGCCAAAUUUGAGAUAGAUACGCAUAAUAUUAUCAUUAACCAAGUACUUUAUGAUGAAGAAGGUAUGCCUACCAUGUCCAGUUAUGUCCUAUUACAUUUGCUUCUUAAUGUUUUGAGCAUAAGGUUAACUACCUACUGGUAAUUCUGUUGUAGACUCGCAGUCCAAAUUACUCAAAGCAAGAAUGCGAAUGCAACAAAAGUACCUUGACCAGUUCUACAUGUUGUAUGAUGACUUUAACAUAACAAAGCUCCCAUUGCUACCUGAAGAGGUAAACCAUAGAGUGCAAUCUUUAUUGAACUUUUGAUUUAAUGCUGUGGAAAGAAAGAGUUUGGUUAGUGGUUUACUUUUUAUGUGCUUUACUCUACUUCCUAUUUGAGCAAUGUUAGUAUCCGUGUCAUUUUAAUGUCAGCUUUUUAUAUUUACAAUUGGGGUAGUCCGAGACCAUUAUAGCUGGAAUGAGGCUAUGAUAUAUUGAAGUUACCCACCUGCCUUCUAUUAUCUUGUUCUUGAAUCCUUAUUCUGGUUCUUAAAUUUCUCUACAAGUAAUUCUAACUUUUUUUUCAUCGGCUAGUUUUUCUUCACAUUUUGUUUCCUUUGGUUGAAUUUCUGGAUUGCUUAAGAAAACUGAGGAAUUCAUUCUCUCUUUUUACUUUCUGGGUAGAAUUCGGUACUUAAUGUAGUGUAACACCUGCUACACAGUUCUCUGAGCUAUUCUCGAAUUGGUUGAUACCUGCUCUUUGUUUUAUAUGAUUCGAUAUCGUAUGCGUGUUAAAUGGAAAGACUUUCCUCUAAGAGGAAUGCAAACGAGUCUUGCAUGUGUUUUCAUGGAUUUUUGCAUGGAUUGCUUAUUAACUUACUUGAAAGCUGAAAUUUGUUGUCUAUAUGCAAUAUUACCCAUUGGAUGCUUGUUGAUCGUCAAGCCUUUGUAUUAAUUGCUGGAUUUUGCAGGUUACUGGAGUGGAAGCUCUGAAAGCAUUUUCACGCCAUUUUCUGACACCGUAUCAACCUUCCACCAGCACGGUGGAAUCGUUAGAGCAAAGGGUGUCUGCGCUAAGGCAGCAGUUGAAAGACACGGAAGCAGAGCUAGAAAGACUAAGAAAAGGAAAGGAAAAGGCCUGAUCAUACCUUGUUUACCAGCGUUGCCUUAUGUUCCAUUUCCAAUCUUGGGGUUUCCAUUUGAGUGCUGGUUGAGAUGGUUGUGUUCUACUUCAUUAUAUUCUUUUUUCUUUUCAGUUCUGCAAGUUAAAUCACAAUAAAUUAAUAAUCUUUUUUUAAUAUCAAAAACAAUAAACUAGUAUAAUCAACAUGUAUUACAGAGAACUGUAUCCUUAGUCGAGUUAAUGUGAUUUACUUCAUUCGAGAGGUCUGGCUACUUUCUUGUUUUCAUUUUCCUUUUCCUAGUGGAAUUGUGUUUUGAAAGAACUGGAAGCCAUUAUAAUCCAUUUUGGAAUACGAAUUAGCCGAAUAGUUCGUUCCCCUGGCAUCAAUUCACAGAUGACUUGUAAUGAUCGGAAAAUUCAAUUCUAGUUAGCAAUGAUCGGGAAUGUUUAUCCGAGGCAUGAAUUAGACAUUUUCGGACCAAGUUGUGCGUCUAAAACCACUUUAUCAUGGCCUUAUGUAGUUAUGUUACAUUAGACGGUCAAAUUUGCUUACUCUGAUUCUCCAAUCAGUGUUAAAGAAGUAAUUGAGUUGGGGUGUGAUGCUCUUUUAUCCAAUGAGGUUUGGCGAAGUUUUGAUGAGACCAUUAUCCGCUUUUUGCAUAAGUUCUACUAGUAAAAGAAACUAUACCCGGAAAAAGAAAAAAGAAAAAAAAGAAGAGUAUCUGCAAGUCUAAUUAAAUUCAGUGCCAAAGGGAAUUCCUGGCAAAAAAUUUGGACAGCUCGGUGUUUGGAUGCGGGUGAAUUCUCGGGAAUUUAAUCAAAAAUAAGGAAUUCUCAAUUUCUUAGGAAACGGUUUCCCUCGUUUGGAUUCUUAUCCCGUAGAAUUAGCAAUUUCCACGGGAAAAUAAUCGUGGAAUUUGGGAGCUUAAAUUCCCGACUUGAAUUCCUCACAGAAUAGGCGUCAUUUGUCAAUUCCCUUAACUGAGGUUAGUCUGAAUACAAAUUCUUGUCAUUUUAAAACUUUACAUCAUGAAAUCCAAACAAUGGAAUUCUCCAUUAAUGGAAUUUAAAUUCAAUGAAUUGUAAUUUCCAUGAUUUUGAAAUUUCUAUGGACAUUAAAAUUACUUUAUCCAAACACAACGUAGAAUUAUAAAUUAUUCAUUGACUGGCCAUGGCCUCUGUACAAAGCCUGAAAGCCAUGUUAAUCUACACCUUCUCCAUGUGAAACUAGGAAUCCAAACAGAAAAGGGCCGGAGAGUUCCAUUUCAUUUUUCGUAAUGGAAACUGAAUGAUGAAAAUGCUUAUAGAUAGCCACAUUACGUUCUUAAUCUUCAAAUCCAACACAUUCAUUGUUUCAUGUAUCUCUCCUGUCAUUCGUUUCUGCUCAAGAACCUCUUUCAUCAACCAUGGAAGAGAAACCCUUGAUGAAAACCCUAAAUAUGAUCGACAAGUUAAUGUAUGAGGUGAAUUCACCCUCAUCUGGUAGUAGUAGUAGCAGUACCAAUAAAACUGCAGAAAGCAGCCAACAACUUUGUGAUGCACCCACUGAUAUAACUCUGCAUCAAUCUUGGUUGCAGCUGCCAUCAAACACAAACAAGAGAAAAGCAAAAGCACCAGUAACACCGGAAAACGAAGAUAGAAUCCAGAAACCAGCCGCUCCUACUAAUCCAGAGCAUCAAAAACUAGUAGUCUCUGAUCAAGAGAAUAUUGAGUCCAAUUCAAAAAGUGAUGAUGGUGAAAACCUUCAUGAUCCAGAGCAGGUGGCGCGUGACCUGACCUUAUACAAAAUAAAGAAGAAGUUGACAAUGAGUGACCUCGGAAACUUGAGCAGGCUCUUGGUGCCAGGUUAUAUGGUCAAGAACUUUGUUUUGCCUCUCGUGGAUGCCGACUUUAAACAAAGAGUAGAGAGCAAAGCCGGUAAACAAGUUACGGUGAAAGACUCAGACAAAGAGACCGAGCAUCAAUUAACGUUCAGAUACUUGAAGUCGUCGAAGAGUUAUGUUUUCAAUGGAAAAUGGAAGGAGUUCGUGAAGAGGAGAGAUCUGAAGAAGGACGAUGAAAUUGGACUUUACUGGGACACUCACGAUUCCAAGUUCCACUUUUCUGUUCUGAAAGUUGCAAGCCAAGAAAGACAAGCAGCCACUGAAGUUGCUCGUGCUAAUCAACAAUGACAUAUCAAGUCUAGAAUCUUAAAGGUAUGUAUCUGAUCAGCCACUUAGAGAACAUACAUAGAAGUCAUCACUUCAGUGAAUUUGAUACGAGAGAUCGAUGAAAUAUUUAUUUCAUUGAAUCCCCAGAUAUAUUUCAUGCUAAUUGGUAUUUUUUAAUGCUAUUAUCUUACAAGUUAAUUAAUCGUAGCAAUGUGAGACAAUUCUUCUGUUAGAACUUAGAAACUUAAAUAUAUAGACAACAUUAAGAAGCAUUACCUUGUCGCUAAAGCAUGUCUUGGAUGGAGUAAUUGUUUCAUUAUUUCAAUCCUUUUAAUUCUUAUGUUUUCCAAUUAAGGUUUUCUUUGUUGGGUUUCACUUGUGUGCCUUAAGGUAUGGAUACCCAACAAGUUUUGACUUGUUAUAGCAGGUUAAAGAAAACUAACACCGUUAACUCUCCGUUAAGUCUCUCUAUAUCUACAGUUUUCAUUAGAAAUAUCUACUAUUUAGAUGAGCAAAAUCACACAAAAGUAGACUUUCUAGAAAUCAAAAUGAUUCUUGAGACUGUCUACAACUAUCAUAAGAAACAUCUACUACUGUCAUGAAAAAUAUCACAGAAAAUGUUGCAAGUCGAAAGACACAUUUAACAUAAGACACAUCUACUGUUUUCAUUAGAAAAGUAGACUUUCUACAAAUCAAAAUUGUUCAUGAGAUUGAAUCAACCCAAGGUAAAAUUUGCAACUCUACAUUUAACAUAAGAUACAUCUACUGUUUUUAUUAAAAAUCUCUACCAUUAACAUAAACGAAAUCAAAGAAAAGUAGACUUUCUAGAAAUAAAAAUUGUGAGAAUGAGAUUGAACCAACCGAAAGUAAAAUUUUACAAGUCUACAUUUAACAUAAGACACAUCUACUAUUUUCAUAAGAAAUGUCUACCAUUAACAUAAGAGAAAUCAAAGAAAAGUAGACUUUAUGGAAAUCUAAAUUGUUCUUGAGAUUGAACCAUGCCAAGGUAAAAGAUGCAAAGUCUACAUUUAACAUAAGACACAACUACUUUUUUCAUUAGAAAUGUCUACCAUUAACAUAAGAGAAAUCAAAGAAAAGUAGACUUUCUGGAAAUCUAAAUUGUUCUUGAGAUUAAACCAACCCAAGGUAAAAAAUGCAAAGUCUACAUUUAACAUAAAAGACAUAUACUAUUUUCAUUAGAAACAUCUACCAUUAACAUAAGAGAAAUCAAAGAAAAGUAAACUUUCUGGAAAUCUAAAUUGUUCUUGAGAUUGAAUCAACCGAAGGUAAACGUUGCAAAGUCUACAUUUAACAUAAGACAAGUCUACUAUUUUCAUAAGAAAUGUCUACCAUUUACAUAAGCGAAAUAAAAGAAAAGUAGACUUUCUGGAAAUCAAAAAUUGUUCUUGAGAUUGAAUCAACCGAAUGUGAAAGUUGCAAAGUCUACAUUUAACAUAAGAUACAACUACUUUUUUCAUAAGAAAUUUCUACCAUUAACAUAAGACAAAUCAAAGAAAAGUAGACUUUCUGGAAAUCUAAAUUGUUCUUGAGAUUGAACCAAACCAAGGUAAAAGAUGGAAAGUCUACAUUUAACAUAAGACACAACUACUUUUUUCAUAAGAAAUUUCUACCAUUAACAUAAGAGAAAUCAAAGAAAAGUAGACUUUCUGGAAAUCUAAAUUGUUCUUGAGAUUGAACCAAACCAAGGUAAAAGAUGCCAAAUCUACAUUUAACAUAAGACACAACUACUUUUUUCAUAAGAAAUGUCUACUAUGAAAAGAAUGUCAUGACAACAGCCCUAGACUGGGAUACCAACCUAGCAUAAUAAGCAUUCUACAAUUCCCAUAAUAAGCUUCCCACAGUUCCCAACUAGCAGCAUUUAUAUUGAAAUUUUCAUAAGAAAUGUCUACUAUGAAAAGAAUGUCAUGACAACAGCCCUAGACUGGGAUACCAACCUAGCAUAAUAAGCCUUCUACAAUUCCCAUAAUAAGCUUCCCACAGUUCCCAACUAGCAGCAUUUAGAUUGAAAGAGAAGACAACAGAACAUAUUCUUUAAAUUAUAUGAGGCUGGUGAGCUAUUAAAAGACCUAAACUUCAACAGUUCAUAAUCCUACCAACAUUUACACCAAUCAGGGAGAAUAAUUGCAAAUAACAAAUCACAAAACAAAAGCUAUAAUAAGAACAAGCAAUCCAUAAUAUAUAUAUGAUUAAACGCUUCAGCAUCAUAAGAUCCAUGAAAACUAGUUCAAUUAAAACUAAUAGAAAAGUAGAUCGAAACACAUAAUACAUUGUUCAUACAUAAACUACAUUGUUCUUAAACCAAAAAAUAAAACAUUACAUCAUUAAGUUCGAAACCAUUUAUGUACUUUCAGAAGAAGAAGAUGGAUGAGGAUCAAGGCUUGGCACAGGUGCUUGAGUGGCAGCAUAGCGGACCCUAUCUGUCCAGCGAAAUGCUGUCACAACAAUGCUGCGACUUUCUGGAACGAACCUCAGAUGAACCCAAUCGUUGGGAUGGAUUUCAUAGGCCUCCACAAACUCCUGCCAACCAGCUCCAAAUAUGAUGUAGUUCCGAUUGUUGCAUGUUAGCUCGACGUCAUCCCUGAUCCACGGGUACGACUUCAGGCGAAACUGAAAUUGACCCAUUCCUGCUUCUACAAGUCUUCUAUAGAAUGGUCCGUGAGCAUUGAUCUAUAGAAAUNNNNNNNNNNNNNNNNNNNNNNNNNNNNNNNNNNNNNNNNNNNNNNNNNNNNNNNNNNNNNNNNNNNNNNNNNNNNNNNNNNNNNNNNNNNNACAAAUUUCUUCCAUCCUCUGCCCAACACAACGAAAUCAUGACGUCGUCGCACAGAAACUUCCCAGCUUCGGUUAUAACCGUCCAAGUGAACCGAACCAUGUUUUUCGUUGUCUUCUACCAUGUAUUUGUUAGAAAAUGACAAUGGUAUCUCCUGCAACGUCAAAGAAAUGAUUAGGACUGAUAGAUGCAACGGGAGUAUAAAAUUUCAUGAAAUAACUCAUACCAAUUCAGUGUCGUUAAUCCCCGCCUUGUCAAACUUGGCAAGGAAGAAAGGAAGAUCGUUCGGGCUGAGUUUUUCCAUUGAUAACAGUGAAAACUUGAAAGGGAUUGAAACUGGUUCGGUGUAAACUGGGGAAGCCUUUUGUUGAAGAAAGUGGUUUUCAGAAAAGUAACACAACCUUUCAGAUUAUAAAGCAAGCCAAAGGGUAAGCACGCAAGCCAAAGGGUAAGCACGAUGUUGGUCAAUUGCAUUAACUGUCCACUUGUUUCAUGAUGUCAGCCACACUCAAUUGUCUAAAUCAUGACAUAAACUUACAAGUAUCAAGAGUCGAGCGAAAUCAUGACCUAUAAGUGUAGCCAAAUCAUGACCUAUGUGUACCCAAAAUGACCUAAGUCUACUACUCAUAUGAGCUAAGUUUACUAGUAAUUUGUGACAACUCGCACAUAUAAGUAGACUUUCUGGAAAACUGUUCUUCAUGUACCCAAAAUGACCCAAGUCUACAAGUACUAAUAACACAAGUAGACUUUCUGGAAAUCUGUUCUUCAUAAAGAUACAGGGAAGAUACAAUUACUAGGCCUAUGAAUUGUGUUUAUGAAUCCACAUUUGUUGGCCCAAAUACGGUAAGUGUGUUGGCCCAAGAAACAGAAUAAUGUGAAUCGAAAGUAGUUGGGGAGCGAAACCCUAAUCCUGUCAGGUUGUUGUCUCUUGAUGUAUGAGCUACAACCCUAAAACUAUUACAUCAAUGAAAUAUGAUUGUGAUCCCUUCACGGCUCGAAUGGUCAUAAUAACAUCUGCCUCUUUGUUUUUCUUUUAAUUUUCUUGAGUGAAUAUUUGAGGAUUGAAUAAACCCUAUAUUUGGUAUUUUAUAUCAAGUUAAUUACAUUAAUUAUGGUCAUUACUUGCAGUGUAGUAGUGUCAUCAUUACUUGCUGCAGAGUUGUAGUACACUUGCUUCAUGAUGUAAGCCACACUCAAUAGUCUAAAUCAUGACAUAAGUCUACCUAAAUCAUCAUGACCUAAAAGUGUAGCCAAAUCAUGAGAUAUGUGUACCCAAAAUCACCAAAUUCUACUACUCACAUGAGCUAAGUUUACUAGAAAUUUGCAAAGUCUACAUUUAACAUAAGACAAAACUACUAUUUUCAUAAUAAAUGUCCACCAUUAACAUAAGAGAAAUCAAAGAAAAGUAGACUUUCUGGAAAUCUAAAUUGUUAUUGAGAUUGAAGCAACCCAAGGUAAAAGAUGCAAAAUCUACAUUUAACAUAAGACACAACUACUUUUUUCAUGAGAAAUGUCUAUGAUUAACAUAAGACAUGUCUAUCUUGGAUCGCCAACGUGUCAUCUCUCUUGCUCUCCAUUGGCCGAACCCUACAGCACUUGGAUCGCCACGUGUCAUGCUCCCAGCCGUCCGCUCUAUACCCUAAUUCAAAUCUCGAUCGCACAAUCAUGUAAACCCCGAAGGCAACAGUUGCAAAUCCGUAUUAAAAAAGUAAAAAAUUAUUCACACCCUUUAACACCGUUAACCCCUAACUCUUGUAUCGUUUUGUUUGUGGUUGAAAUUCGUAAUCCAAAAAAACAUAAGUUGUUGAAAUUGAUUGACACCCUUUAACACCGUUAAGUCACCCUUUUAAAAUCCAAUUGAAUCCUCAACACUCUUGCGCAUAACUCUCUCUUUCUAUCCUUACUCUCUUCCCACCAGCCCUAGGGCAUUCUAAUUGAUUUUGAAGUUUUGAAUGCCCUAGAUGCCGCCGAAGAAGAAACCCCCGGUGAAAAAACAAACGAAAAAGUCGCCGCCGAAGAAGGCCCCGACGAAGAAGCCCAAGGCUGUCCAAGAGAGGAAAAGGGCUAAUGCCUCGGACGCAGAUGGAAGGGCGAGGAAGAGUUCCCGAUUGUUGGGUAUCGAUCCACCAAGCAGCAGCUCCGACACUGUCUUUGAUCCCCAAGUGCGAUUAGUGGAGCAAGACAAAAAGAAACUGGCAAUUGAGAAGUUGUCGAAUUCAGCUCUUGACUCCAGUGCCCCAUGCUCUAUGUUGGUUAUUGCGAAUGAAGCUGCGGCGGAGGCGUCAAAACCCGAAAUGGCCGGUGAGGAGGCAAAAUCUAGUAAGGUUGCAAAGAUGAGGUCUCCACUGAAGCCCAAGCUGAAGAAAAACUCCAACAAAGGGGGGAUAUUUUUAAAUUACCUGUAAGUUUGUUCAAUGUUUGUUUCGACUGUAUGAAUUCUGUGGAACUGUGUUUGUUUACUAUUUCGAUUGUAUGGUUACGGACUGCAUGUUUCGAUUGUAUGAAUUCUGCAGUCAUAUCAGGCACAAGACCAUCAAUCCCCCACAGGAGAUGAAUAACACUGUGAGUACCGUCUUCGGAUUGCAUUGUAUCUUGAUUUGUGGGUUGUUAGUUGCCUUAUAUGUGUGGGUUCCUAGAUCUAUUUCGUAUGUUGAUGCUUGUAUGAAGUGAUUGUGUAUUGAUUUUGUUUCAGUUCCUCUUGGAGUCUUCACAAGAAUGGAGUAUGUUUCCUCUCGAGAAAAAACAAAAGUACAUUCCAGAGCCAUCACAUACCACAGAUGAUGCUUCUGAUGAGUCUUUGGAACUGGUAACACUUGACAGUAGAUGCUCUCCAAAGUCCUUCAGGAGUGUGGUUUCUCAGUUUAGUGAUGUGAAGAAGGCAGCAUGUGAAGAGCUCUGUUUUGGUGUGUUGUUGAAGAUUGCUGGGACGAGACUGCGCCACUCGAUGGUGCGCGCUCUUGUGGAUUUGGUAGACCCCGAAAAAGGAACCAUUCAGCUGUAUGGGAAGUUGAUUGAAAUUUUUGCGUCUGAUGUUGCUCAGGUGAUGGGGUUGUAGAAUGGUGGGGAGGAGGUCAUUCAGGCUGGUUCGUUCAAGGAUCACCCUGAGUUGAUGGAUAUAAUCAGUCAGUUCUCUCGGUCUGAUGGGAAGAUCUAUUCGAAGGAGUUGGUGAGGUAUUUGGUGGAUCCUCAAACGGUAGCCGACGACAAAUUCAAGCGAGUGUUUGUUUGGUUCACACUGACCACUAUCCUCAGGCCCACUGCCUCACUCUCCCUUCCGAAGAAGUGGUUGGUACUCCUCAAGGACACUAGCCGCAUCUCAUCCAUGAACUGGGCUGCUUACUCUUUCCUAUGGUUGAUGAAUGGAAUCAAGGAGUUCAAGGGUGAUAAGACCUACUGCAGCGGAAACCUCCUUUUUCUCCAGCNNNNN
rnacentral:lncRNA from 1 species